rnacentral:rRNA from 1 species
UGGCCGUAAACGAUGUGGACUUGGUGUUGGAAUGGCUUCGAGUUGUUCCAGUGCCGAAGGGAAGCUGUUAAGUCCACCGCCUGGGAAGUACGGUCGCAAGACUGAAACCUAAAGGAAUUGGCGGGGGAGCACCACAACGCGUGGAGCCUGCGGUUUAAUUGGAUUCAACGCCGGACAUCUCACCAGGAGCGACAGCAGAAUGAUAAUCAGGUUGAUGACCUUAUUUGACUAGCUGAGAGGUGGUGCAUGGCGUCAGUGACU